rnacentral:pre_miRNA from 1 species
UGAUCAUCAUCAUCAUGGUGAUGAUGAUGAUGAUCAUCAUCAUCAUGGUGAUGAUCGUGAUGAUGAUGAUCAUCAUCAUCAUCGUGAUGAUCAUGA